rnacentral:misc_RNA from 1 species
AAAAAAUAAAAUAAAAUAAAGAGAAGGAAAUUAAUAAUUUAGCAAGUAGCAAGAAUCCCUUUUCUUCUUUGUUGGGUAAUAUGUGCUGGGUAAUACAUUGCUAUGUUGUGUCACCUUCUGUGAAAGGGAAGGAGGAGAUGGGUUAAGUUAUCGGAUAAUUUUCCUAGUAAAGCACGAAAACCCUAUCUUGAAUUUGGCUUUUUCUCAAAUGCUUGAAUAGUUUUCUUGUUAUCUUACUAUUGCAUGUUUAUUCAUUCUCAUCAAUCUAUGGUAACUUGCAAAUGCUCAUAUCAGUGAGCUUGCAUGUCUACUGAAAGCAUCUAAUUGCAGGGUGCUCUCUCCUUCGUUUUCUCCUCUUUCUUCUGUUUAGGUCAUUGUCUUCUUGGUGGGAAUACAUCCAGUUGUUUCUGAUUGUAGAUGUAUUUGAAU